CAGUCGCCGCGGUAAUACGAAGGGGGCUAGCGUUGUUCGGAAUUACUGGGCGUAAAGGGCUCGCAGGCGGUUUCUUAAGUCUGAUGUGAAAGCCCCCGGCUCAACCGGGGAGGGUCAUUGGAAACUGGGAAACUUGGGUGCAGAAGAGGAGAGUGGAAUUCCACGUGUAGCGGUGAAAUGCGUAGAGAUGUGGAGGAACACCAGUGGCGAAGGCGACUCUCUGGUCUGUAACUGACGCUGAGGAGCGAAAGCGUGGGGAGCGAACAGGAUUAGAGACCCGCGUAGUCCCUGUCUCUUAUAC
rnacentral:rRNA from 1 species